rnacentral:rRNA from 1 species
AAUUCGCCCUUGAGCACGUAGGUGGGUUUGUAAGUCAGACGUGAAAGCCUUCUGUUCAACGGGAGAAUUGCAUCUGAAACUACGAAUCUUGAGUGUAGGAGGGGAGAAUGGAACUUCUGGUGGAGCGGUGAAAUGCGUAGAUACCAGAAGGAACGCCGGCGGCGAAAGCGAUUCUCUGGCCUAUUACUGACACUCAGUGUGCGAAAGCUAGGGGAGCAAACGGGAUUAGAUACCCCGGUAGUCCUAGCCGUAAACGAUGGGCACUAAGUAGAGGGGAUUACCGACGUUCUCUCUGCCGUAGCUAACGCAUUAAGUGCCCCGCCUGGGGAGUACGGCCGCAAGGCUAAAACUCAAAAGAAUUGACGGGGGCUCGCACAAGCGGUGGAGCAUGUGGCUUAAUUCGAUGCAACGCGAAAAACCUUACCGGGGCUUGACAUGUUAGAAGUAGGAACCUGAAAGGGUAACGAACGGUAUCCAGUCCGUAGCUAUCACAGGUGUUGCAUGGCUGUCGUCAGCUCGUGUCGUGAGACGUUGGGUUAAGUCCCCUAACGAGCGAAACCCUUGUUUUUAGUUACCAGCGGGUUAUGCCGGGUACUCUAGAAAGACUGCCGUCGUCAAGACGGAGGAAGGUGGGGAUGACGUCAAGUCAUCAUGGCCCUUAUGCCCCGGGCUGCACACGUGCUACAAUGGUCGGUACAAACGGAAGCGAAGCCGAGAGGUGAAGCGAAUCCAAGGGCGAAUU